rnacentral:rRNA from 1 species
CGAGCGAAUGGAUUAAGAGCUUGCUCUUAUGAAGUUAGCGGCGGACGGGUGAGUAACACGUGGGUAACCUGCCCAUAAGACUGGGAUAACUCCGGGAAACCGGGGCUAAUACCGGAUAACAUUUUGAACNGCAUGGUUCGAAAUUGAAAGGCGGCUUCGGCUGUCACUUAUGGAUGGACCCGCGUCGCAUUAGCUAGUUGGUGAGGUAACGGCUCACCAAGGCAACGAUGCGUAGCCGACCUGAGAGGGUGAUCGGCCACACUGGGACUGAGACACGGCCCAGACUCCUACGGGAGGCAGCAGUAGGGAAUCUUCCGCAAUGGACGAAAGUCUGACGGAGCAACGCCGCGUGAGUGAUGAAGGCUUUCGGGUCGUAAAACUCUGUUGUUAGGGAAGAACAAGUGCUAGUUGAAUAAGCUGGCACCUUGACGGUACCUAACCAGAAAGCCACGGCUAACUACGGCCAGCAGCCGCGGAAUACGAGGGC